rnacentral:rRNA from 1 species
GACGAACCGUGCGAACGUUGUUCGGAAUCACUGGGCGUAAAGGGUGCGUAGGCGGCUUGGUGGGUCUGGUGUGAAAGCCCCGGGCUCAGCCCGGGAAGGGCACUAGAAACUGCCGAGCUGGAGUGCCGGAGGGGAGAGUGGAAUUCCUGGUGUAGCGGUGAAAUGCGUAGAUAUCAGGAGGAAUACCGGUGGCGAAAGCGACUCUCUGGACGGCA